UUGCCUUUGUGGCAAAUUUGUAAUUGUUUACAUCUUCUACCUUAGGUCUUUUUAAAUUAGACAAAAAGAAAAGGGGGCAGCCGACAGUUCACAACAGAAAGAGAGUGAGGGAGAGACAGAGGCGUUCGACGAAGCUUUAACAUCGAUGUUUCUGCACGACUGAACGACAUUCAAAGAGAAGAGGACGGUGAACGACGCACAUUUGUGGUACUCUGAUGAUGUGUUGAGUUUGGGUCUCGACAUUAGUUUCACGUGGGUCUCUCGGUCUCUCUUGGCAUUUGGUUUACGGAAAUCAAGGCCAAGGGAGAUUUCGAGAUUUCAUGGCUAUGGGCUGAAGCUUUGAGAAAAAGAGAAUGAAAAACGAAAUGUGAGAUUUUAAACUUUGAUGAUGUGUAGGGUGUUUUUGUUUGUCUAUGCAUUUCCCAAGUGAACUUGAGUACUUUUGGUUUUUCUAUUGAUCUUUUGUUUAUGGUUACUAUUGAGUUGUAUAGUAAUUGCAUGAUAGUUAUAACAUAAACAAACUAUAUAUAUAAACUUGAACACAAGUGCUUAUUAUCUAACUCAUUACUAAAUUGUUGUAAUUUGGUUACUCUUGAUUUACUAAUGAUUGAAGAUUAAAAGAAGUUAUGAACAUUUUCACUAUGAGCAAGAAAUAAACUCUUUAUGUUGCUAAUGAACUUAUCUUGAUUUAUAGGAAGCUCUGAUAAAUCAUCAAUUUAAGCAAUUGUUUUGGCCUUGUUAUAGUUGUGAAUUCUAUUUGGUUUGUUAUCUAUUUGGUUUUUGACUUUAAGUUUUUUAAACUUAAGCCUAUACACGUUUUUUUACCUCUACUUUUUAUUAAUGUUUUUAAAAUUAGGCCAAAUUAGUGUUUCUGAAACUGUCAUUAUUAUAUGUGCUAUAAGUCUUAAAGAAGUUACUCGUACAGAGAGAGAAGCAUUACAUGCUAGAAAACAAAGAUUCUAGUGACGCCCAUUAUAUAGUUCCAGACUUGGAGAGUUGGUUACACAGAAAGAAAAUUAGCAAAGACAGUGCAAGCGUUGGAGAUGAGCCCAUUUUUAAGGGGUCGUUUGAAACACAAAGGAAGAGACAAGAAUACGAAGGCUUUCUACCCUUUAUUUUGUAUUGGUAUGAUUGGGACGUGGUGCAAAUAGUGGAUAUAUGUACGUAGGGUCUGUGCAAAGAAAAGAAAUUGUUUUCUCGUAUGUUGGUAAGCAAUGGUUUAUAUUAUUUAAACUAUAAUUUCUAUUGUCGUCGCUAUUGCUUAAACAACUGUGAAGAGAAAAGAAAAAAAAGGAAUGGGUAAAGUUAGCUUUCGUUGGCAUAAAUUGGGACUAUUAAGUUGGCGAGGCCAGAAGUGGAGGAGGACAUUAAAACAGUAAAACGAAUUAAACAAAAAAGGGUCCAUAUUGCAAAGUUGUAAUCAAUGAAGAUCAGUUCAAUUUUUAUUUAUAUUUUA